CUCAGGAAGGCCCCAGUAUUGCCAGGCUGGGAGAAACCCAAGCCAUGAGGAUAGACCAUGAAUAGGAGUUCUGGUUGACAAUCCCAGUUCACUCCCAGCUUCAAAUACACAAGGCCAAGUGCCAGAUACGGGCAUAAAAAGCAAUUUUGGAAGUGGACACUCCAGUCCCAGCUGUCCUAGCCCUCAGCUAUUUGAGUUGCAUCCAGACAUGUAAAUCUUCCCAGCUGAGGCCUCAUCAUUGAGGUGCAGAAAAGGGGCAUGCCCAUUGUGCCUGUUUCUAAAUUCCUGACCCACAGAACCUCUAAUCAGCAAUACAACUGGGAUUUGAUAUCAGAUUCAUGCGAUUCCGAAGACCCUGACCACCAAAUGCAAAAGUUGCAGGUAUGUUUUUAUCAGCAGCAUGAAAAUGAACUAAUACAGUAAAUUGUUACAGUAGAGUGGGGUGCUGGUGAAAACAUAUCCAAAAAUGUGGAAGCGACGUUGGAACUGGGUAACAGGCAGAGGUUGGAACAGUUUGGAGGACUCAGAAGAAGACAGGAAAAUGUGGCCAAGUUUGGAACUUCCUAGAGACUUGCUGAAUGGCUUUGAACAAAAUGCUGACAGUGAUAUGGACGAUGAAAUCCAGGCUAGGUGGUCUCAGCUGGUGAUAAGGAACUUGUUGGGAACCGGAGUAAAGGUGAGUCUUGCAAACACACUGGUGGCAUUUUGCCCGGCCCUAUAGAUUUGUAGAACUUUGAACUUGAGAGACAUGAUUUAGGGUAUCUGGCAGAAGAAAUUUCUAAGCAGGAAAGCACUUACGAUGUGACUUCGGUGCUGUUGAAAGCAUUCAGUUUUAUAAGGCAAGCAGAGCAUAAAAAUUUGGAAAAUUUGCAGCCUGACAAUGCAAUAGAAAAGAAAAUCCCAUUUUCUGAGGAGAAAUCCAAGCCAGCUACAGACAUUUGCAUAAGAUAAUGGGGAAAAUGUCUCCAGGACAUGUCAAAGGUCUUUACCUCAGCCUCUCCCAUCACAGGCACAGAGACCUAGGAGGAAGAAGCGGUUUUGUGGGCUGGGCCCAGGGUUCCUUUGCUGUGUGCAGCCUAGGGACUUCAUCCCCUGCAUCACAGCAACUCUAGCUAUGGCUGAAAGGGGACAACAUAGAGCUCAGGCUAUGGCUUCAGAGGGUGCAAGCCCCAAGCCUUGGCAUCUUCCAUGUGGUGUUGAGCCUAUGAGUGCACAGAAGUCAAGAAUUGAGGUUUGGGAACCUCUGCCUAGAUUUCAGAAGAUGUAUGGAAACGCCUGAAUGCCGAGGCAGGAGUUUGCCAUAUGGGUGGGGUCCUCAUAGAGAACCUCUGCUAGGGCAGUGCAGAAGGAUAAUGUGGGGAGGGAGCCCACACACAGAAUCCCUACUGGGGCACCACCUAGUGGGGCUGUGAGAAGAGGGCCACCGUCUUCCAGACCCCAGAAGUGUAGAUCCACUGACAGCUUGCACUGUGUGCAUGGAAAAGCUGCAGACACUUAACACCAGCCCGUGAAGGCAGCCAGGAGGGAGACUGUACCCUGCAGAGCCAGAGGGGUGGAACUGCCCAAGACCAUGGGUAUCCACCUCCUGCAUCAGCAUGACCUAGAUGUGAGACAUGGAGUCAAAGGAGCUUUAGAUUUGACUGCCCUUCUGGAUUUCAGACUUGCAUGGGGCUUGUAGCCUCUUUGUUUUGGCCAAUUUCUCCCAUUUGCAAUGGCUGUGUUUACCCAAUCCCUUUACCCCUGUAACCGCAUUGUAUCUAGGAAGUAACUAACUUGAUUUUGAUUUUACAGGCUCAUAGGUGGAAGGGACUUGCCUUGUCUCAGAUGAAACUUUGGACUGUGGACUUUUGAGUUAAUGCUAAAAAGAGUUGACACUUUGGGGGACUGUUGGGAAGGCAUGACUGGUUUUGAAACAUGAAGAUAUGAGAUUCGGGAGGGGCUGGAGUGAAAUGAUAUGGUUUGGCUCUGUGUCCCCAUCCAAAUCUCAUCUUGUAGCUCCCAUAAUUUCUAUAUGUAGUGGGAGGGACCUGAUUGGAGAAGACUGAAUCAUGGGGGCAGGUCUUUCCCAUGCUGUUCUCAUAAUAGUGAAUGGGUCUCACAAGAUCUAAUGGUGUUAAAAACAGGAUUGUCUCUGCACAAGCUCUUUUUUUGCCUGCUGCCACCCACAUAAGAUGUGUCUUGCUCCUUUUUGCCAUGAUUGUGAGUCCUCCCCAGCCAUGCGGAACUGUAUGUCCAAUAAACCUUUUUCUUUUGUAAGUUGUCUGGUCGUGGGUAUGUCUUUAUCAGCAGUGUUAAAAUGGACUAAUACAAUCACUCUAUCAAAUGAG
rnacentral:lncRNA from 1 species